rnacentral:rRNA from 1 species
GAUGAACGCUAGCGGCGUGCCUAAUACAUGCAAGUCGAGCGAACGGACGAGAAGCUUGCUUCUCUGAUGUUAGCGGCGGACGGGUGAGUAACACGUGGAUAACCUACCUAUAAGACUGGGAUAACUUCGGGAAACCGGAGCUAAUACCGGAUGAUAUUUUGAACCGCAUGGUUCAAAAGUGAAAGACGGUCUUGCUGUCACUUAUAGAUGGAUCCGCGCUGCAUUAGCUAGUUGGUAAGGUAACGGCUUACCAAGGCAUCGAUGCAUAGCCGACCUGAGAGGGUGAUCGGCCACACUGGAACUGAGACACGGUCCAGACUCCUACGGGAGGCUGCAGUAGGGAAUCUUCCGCAAUGGGCGAAAGCCUGACGGAGCAACGCCGCGUGAGUGAUGAAGGUCUUCGGAUCGUAAAACUCUGUUAUUAGGGAAGAACAUAUGUGUAAGUAACUGUGCACAUCUUGACGGUACCUAAUCAGAAAGCCACGGCUAACUACGUG